GCGGUGGCUGUUUUCCCCGCCAUCCCGGACGAGCGCGUCGUACCCGGUGACGACAAGACGACGCAGU
rnacentral:ncRNA from 1 species